rnacentral:lncRNA from 1 species
UUUAGACAAUGAUGGUAUCUGGUCUGUGUUCAGAUAUGAGUAUAAAACUGUCUUGUUUUUUCCCUAUUCAUCAUGGUCACAAAGUGAUCUUAUCUGAUGAAUGUCCUGUAAAACAGUUUAUGUUCUACAGAAGAAUAGAAAGGCCCCCAGCCUGGGCAACAUGGUGAAACCCUGUUGUCUACAAAAAAAAAAAAAAUGCCAGGCAUGCAUGGUGGGGUGCACCUGUGGUGUGCACCAAGCUACUUAGGAGACAGAGGCAGAGGAAUUACCUGAGCCCAGGAAGUUUAGGCUGAAGCGAGCCAUGGUCACACAACUACAACUGCACUCCAGCCUGGGUGACAGAGGAGACCCUGUCUCAAAAAAAAAAAAAAAAAAAAAAGAAGAAAGACUCAGCUGAUAUUGCCAGACGACCAGUUCCUGAAUGUCAGGACCAUAUGUAUGUCUUCUUUUGAGAAGUUUUUUGUCAUGAAAUCUAUUUCGUCCCAUGUAUCUAUCCCAUUCUCAAAUUUUUAUGGGUCCCCUUUCCUGGUGUUCUGACCUAAAAGUCAGGUCCCUAAUUUUCCUAUAUACUUCCUGCAACAGGUAAUGAUUCCUGGUGAAACAACAAAAGAAAAGAGCAUGCAUGAGCACCACUGCUUCUACCUGAUGAAUAGCAAAAAGGAUUUAAAAAAAGGCCUCUUCCACUCCAUUGGGACUACCUUUGAAAACAGUGUGAAGUUGGGGGCUGACAUUUCUUUGUUAGCACACAGGAGUACAAUAUCUCCAGAAAGUCUUGGCCACACAAGUAGGAAGGAAAUUUGCCAUUCUAUGCAAGUCCUUAAAAGUUAAAAGUACUUGGUUAUGACUUGUUUAUACGUGGGACAUUUGCCUUUUUGUGCCUGGAUCUUGCAACUCAAAUAGGCUAUAUUUCACAAUAGCCCUGUUAAUUUUACAAAGAUAGUUUCCUUAUACUUACUUGAAGUGAUAAAUUGCUUCAUCAUGAACACAUAACCUUUUGUUGUGACUUCUUGGCAUAAACAGUUUCAAUAUAUCUAAUAUAUACUGUCGCAAAGAGUAGUUUUUCUACAAUGUUGUAAAUUCACACUCUUAAAAAAUAUUUUAAGUCAUUUUAAUUUUGUGUUGUUUCCCAACAUUAUUGUGACUAUCAAUUAUUUUACCAAAUAUUUAUUUCAUAAAUCCUUAAUAAGAAUUUCUAUUAAUAAGUUUAUUAUGUAUGAGUGUAUCAAGAGUUAUAAUUACAUUUCAUCACUAAAGAAAAUAAUUUAACUUGAUAGAAGUUGGUAUAGCUUCCUCCAUAAUUACAUAAUAACUUGCAUUGAGUUUCAAGUAUAGAAACGUUAUUUCAAUUUCUAAUAAUUCCUUGUACUUAAAA